rnacentral:tRNA from 1 species
GGGGAUUUAGCUCAGUGGUAGAGCGCUCACCUAGCAAGUGCAAGGCCCUGGGUUCGGUCCCCAGCUCUG